ensembl:snRNA U6 U6 spliceosomal RNA
GUGCUCACUUCAGCAGCACGUAUACUAAAAUUGGAACGAUACAGAGAAGAUUAGCAUGGCCUCUGUGCAAGGAUGACAUGCAAAUUCAUGAAGCGUUCCAUAUUUAA